rnacentral:lncRNA from 1 species
AGAGAAUGAGCUAGAGGAGUCGAGGUUGAUGAAACCUGACCCAUGAAGAGAAUCUCAUGGCAGUCGGAGGACUCACAAUUCCCUCGGAGGUUGUAAUUAUCAAAAACUAGAACUUCAUCCCAAGCUUCCCCCAGUUUGAGCUGAAGUGAAAGCAGAAGCGACAAAGGAGCAAGUGAAACCUACAAAUCGGAGCUCGCAAAUAGGGAAGGCACUUGCUUAUGUACCAUAAUUGAUGAAAUGAGAGAAGCUGAUAGUACAGUUAGAGAAGAUGAUAUACUAAUACAGGCCGACCAUUGGAGCACGACCCUAAUUGGAUACGUAUUGGGGGAUUUUCCAUAAAAACAAUGGAGAAUUAUAUAGCUCAUGUAUGGAAUUUUGUCUCUAAACCACAUGUACUAUACCAUGAUGAUGCCUAGUACAUUUUCAAAUUUGCUUCACUAGCUGAUAGGGAACUAGUGAUGCAAUCAACGUUGUAUACAUAUAGGAAUAGACCACUGAUCUUGAGGAAUUGGAUACUAGACUUUGAAUUUAAUCCUGACUGCCUGAACAAGGUUCCCUUGUGGGUAAAGUUCCCUAGCCUACCUCUGGGUUUUUGGUCGACGGAAUCACUGAGCAAGUUAGCAAGUGUAGUGGGGAAGCCGAUGUACACAGAUAAGUAUACUGCUGAGAUGGAAUGGAUUUCAUACGCGAGGGUAUUAGUUGAGGCUGAUAUUAGCCACAUCUUACUUACGCAAAUGGAGCUCAAUACCCCAAUGGGGACCAUACAACAUGCCAUUAUGUAUGAUUGGAUCCCUAAAUUCUGCAGAGACUGUAAUAGCUUUGGACAUAAUGUUGAUGAAUUUCCACACAAGAAGAGACCUGAGAAAGAAGAGCACGACAACCCUCCCUCACAGUAAGAAGGAGGAGAAACUGUAGACGUAGGAAGGUGAUCCAAUAAUGGGAAGCUAAUAAAGCUGAUAAGGCUAAUCCUGAGCAGACCAAACAACCAGAGCCAACCGUUGACAAGAGCCAAUUGGUAGAGCAGUCUGAUACUUCUCAUGAUACAUUAUAAACGAGUGAGCAUACAAAGAAAGUAUUUUCUAGUCCAACUAAGGUUGAAAAUAUAGUAAAAAUACAAAGUAAAGGAAAGGAAAUAAUAGGUGAGAAAGUAGAGACUUGUGCUCAAGGUGGGAGUCAAUUCAAACCCCCAUGAUUAUGUGCUCUUGGAAUAUUAGAGGGCUUAAUAACCCCUUUAAGCAGAAGGAGUUGAAACUCUUUCGGAGGAAGAAUAAAGUGGAAAUUAUGGGAAUAAUUAAAACAAGAGUGAAAAGUCAAAAUGCUAAUAAAGUCAGAAGAAACAUAGCAAGAGACUGGAAUGCCCAAUACAAUUAUAGUCAUGCUGUAAAUGGGAGAAUUUGGCUUAUCAGGCAAAAUCACAUUCAGGUAGAAGUACUACAAAUAGGGGAUCAGUUUAUGCACUAUAAGGUAAUCAAUACAAAUACCCAAUUUGCUUGUAUACUGACCAUAGUGUAUGCUAGUAAUGACUUGGUGGAAAGACAGGAAUUGUAGAAGGAAUUGAUUAUUCUGGGGAACCAGGUUCAAGUUGAGUGGCUGGUAUGUGAUGAUUUUAACAACGUGUUGACCUCAAGAGACAAAAUUGGAGCCCCGGUCACACAGGCUGAGGUGCAGGUAUUCCAGGGCAUGGUAGAAACAAAUCAAUUUGCCCCUUUGAGAAGCACAGGAUGCCAGUUCACAUGGUGCAAUAAGCAGGCAAUAGACACCAGAGUCUACAACAAGAUUGACUGGGCUUUUAGGAACUACAGGUAGUUGCAGAAUCAGGGGCAUAUUAAGGCUAACUAUAUGAUUCCAUGGGUGUCAGAUCACUCUCCAAUUAUGAUUAACUAUUACACAUAAAAACCCUAAGACUUGUAUCCAAAGCCUUUAAAACUAUACUCUACUGUGAUGAACCAUCCUGAGUUCAAAAAGAGGGUGCAAGAGGCUUGGGAUAAGAGGAUAACUGGAGAUCCAAUAUAGAUUAUCUGGAACAAGCUGAAGGCUGUGAAGAUAACUAUUAAGGACUUAAACAAGUACCUUGUAGAAUACUAACAAAAUUUAGAAAAUGCCAAGAAAACACUAGAAGUGGUGCAAGUAGGAAUUGUUGUGAGCCCUUGUAAUGCUCAAUUAUGUGAAUAGGAAAAGUUGGCACUGGUAAAAAUGGAGAAGUGGAGCAGAGUAGAAGAGCAGGUGAUGAGACAAAAAUCAAGAGCCUCAUGGAUAGAAAGUGGUGACUCAAAUACAAGAUAUUUUCAUGCUUAGUGGAAGAUGAGAUCAAGUAUCAACACCAUUACUUCUGUUCACAAUAAGACUGGGGUUAAGUUAACUGAACCUAAGGACUCAGAAGAUAAGUUUAUUUCAUUCUUCUCCAAUCUAAUGGGGCAAGAAGGAGAGAUGCACCCUUGUCCAGAUGCUGAGUUAAUUCAGGAGGGCUACUGUUUAAAUAGGGAGUAGCAGAUGAACUUAAUCCAGCAGGUAACAACUAAGGAGGUAAAGGCAGCAAUCAAGAAGAUGCCAAAGGAGAAAGCCCAGGAGUUUAUGGUUUUCCCAUUGAAUUCUUUACUACAUGCUGGGAUGUGGUACACUUUGAGGUAAUUUAGGAGGGCUACUAUUUAAAUAGGGAGCAGCAAAUGAACUUAAUCCAGCAUGUAUCUGAGUAGGUAAAAGCAACAAUCAAGAAGAUGCCAAAGAAUAAAGCCCCAGGAGUUUAUACUUUUCCCAUUGAAUUCUUCACUACAUGCUGGGAUGAGGUACACUCUGAUCUAUUGAAUAUGGUGAUCUAUUUCUUUAACAGUUGUAUGAUGGAUAAAAGAAUUAACUGUACUGCAGUAACUUUAAUCCUAAAGUACCUUCCCCUACUUAUGUAAAAGAUUAUAGACCUAUUGCUUGUUGUACAACUGUGUAUAAGAUAAUCACUAAAGUGAUUACUAGAAGAUUGAAGAGUGUUAUAGGGGAUCUGAUAAGGGACGCACAAUCAACCUUCAUUGAGGGGAGAUGCAUUACUGACAACAACAUAUUUGUUCAUGAGCUUUUCAAAGGCUAUAAUAGAAAAUGCAUAUCUCCAAGGCGUGUUCUCAAAGUGGACAUCAGAAAGGCUUAUGAUUCACUAGACUGGUCAUUCUUGAGAAGAUAAAUGAUAAAGGUGGGAUUUCCUAGUAAGUUUGUAGAAUGGAUAAUGACAUGUAUAACCACUCUUUCUUAUUCCUUGACUAUAAAUAUAGGCCAACUGAUUCAUUCCAUGGCAAGGGGGUAUAAGGCAAGGUGACCCAAUGUCACCUUACCUAUUUUUACUUGCUAUGAAAUACUUAAACAUGUUACUAAAGUAGCUAACCAGGAAUAAGAACUUCUGAUUCCACCCUAGAUGCAAGAAAGUGGGGGCUAUACAUAUCUGCUUUGAUGAUGAUCUACUGAUGUUUUGUAAUGCUAAAAUAGGGUCCAUCAGACUUCUUAACCAGACAUUUAGGAAGUUCUCUCAGGUGCCAGGUUUGCACAUAAAUGUAGAUAAAAGCUCUUUAUUCCUGGCCGGUAUAUCAGAUAACUUGAAGGACAUCCUAGAGGAGACUGGCUAUAGUGGUAGAACAUUUCCAUUCAAAUACCUGGGAGUACUUAUUGCUGCCAGGAAACUAUCAAUUGUACUAUGUUGGCCCUUGGUUGAGAAGAUAACAACAAAGAUCACUUGCUGGUCUGCAAGAUUAUUAAGCUAUAUAGGAAGGUUUCAAUUAAUCAAAGAAGUGACAUUUCGUAUGCAGGCAUACUGGGCAUAGGUGUUUUUGAUCCCCAAGAAGGUACUAAAAUGCAUUGAGACAAUAUGUAGAACAUACUUGUGGACUGGCAAGAAUGAAAUCUCUAAAAAGGCAUUUGUCUCUUGGGAAAAAGUGUGCUUACCACAGGGUGCAGGAGGGUUGAACAUGAUCAACUUAUACCUAUAGAACAAGGCUGCAAUAGCAAAACAUCUAUGGGUUGUAGCAAUGAAAAAAAGACUGGCUAUGGAUAAAAUGGCUCUAUACCUUCAAUAUAAAGCAUACCCAAGAAUGUCUCUUGGGUAAUUAGGAAGAUAUUGAAUGCCAGGAAACUGGUUUUGGAGACACAACAACUACAAGGACACAUACUGGACAGGUUGAUUCAACUGCAGAAAUGAGAGAAAUUCAGCAUAAAAAAGUUAUACUUAUUGCAGAUACCUCAGCACCCUAAAGUAGCAUGGAAGAAGCUAAUUCUACAACCUCACAUGCAGCCUAGUCAUAAAUUCAACAUGUGGUUAGCUCUACAACAAAGACUGGAAAUUGUGGAGAGACUACUGAAGAUUGGAAUAUAAGUCCCUAAAACUUGUGUAUUCUGUGAUGCAGCAGAUGAACUAUUUGACCAUUUAUUUUUUUGAGUGUAGCAUUACUAAGGGCAUCUAAAGAAGACUACUUACUUGGCUUGGAAAAGUUAGAACAAUUGAAAGCUGGAAUACAAAGGUACAAUGGCUGGUGAUAGGGCUGAAGCAUGAAGCAGGGUUCAGAGAAGUCGUAGCAUCAAUUUUCAGCAUGAUGAUCUACUACAU